rnacentral:misc_RNA from 1 species
UCUCGGCUUAUCACCGGCAGUCCCCCUAGAGUGCCCAACUGAAUGAUGGCAACUAAGGGCGAGGGUUGCGCUCGUUGCGGGACUUAACCCAACAUCUCACGACACGAGCUGACGACAGCCAUGCAGCACCUGUCACUCAUCCAGCCGAACUGAAGGAGUCCGUCUCUGGUCUCCGCGACCGGGAUGUCAAAGGUUGGUAAGGUUCUGCGCGUUGCUUCGAAUUGAACCACAUGCUCCACCGCUUGUGCAGGCCCCCGUCAAUUUCUUUGAGUUUUAACCUUGCGGCCGUACUCCCCAGGCGGAUAACUUAAUGCGUUAGCUGCGCCACCGAAAGCCUAAGGCCCCCGACAGCUAGUUAUCAUCGUUUACGGCGUGGACUAC